GGGAAACAGGUUAAUAUUCCUGUACUUGGUGUUACUGCGAAGGGGGGACGGAGAAGGCUAUGUUGGCCGGGCGACGGUUGUCCCGGUUUAAGCGUGUAGGCUGGUUUUCCAGGCAAAUCCGGAAAAUCAAGGCUGAGGCGUGAUGACGAGGCACUACGGUGCUGAAGCAACAAAUGCCCUGCUUCCAGGAAAAGCCUCUAAGCAUCAGGUAACAUCAAAUCGUACCCCAAACCGACACAGGUGGUCAGGUAGAGAAUACCAAGGCGCUUGAGAGAACUCGGGUGAAGGAACUAGGCAAAAUGGUGCCGUAACUUCGGGAGAAGGCACGCUGAUAUGUAGGUGAAGUCCCUCGCGGAUGGAGCUGAAAUCAGUCGAAGAUACCAGCUGGCUGCAACUGUUUAUUAAAAACACAGCACUGUGCAAACACGAAAGUGGACGUAUACGGUGUGACGCCUGCCCGGUGCCGGAAGGUUAAUUGAUGGGGUCAGCGCAAGCGAAGCUCUUGAUCGAAGCCCCGGUAAACGGCGGCCGUAACUAUAACGGUCCUAAGGUAGCGAAAUUCCUUGUCGGGUAAGUUCCGACCUGCACGAAUGGCGUAAUGAUGGCCAGGCUGUCUCCACCCGAGACUCAGUGAAAUUGAACUCGCUGUGAAGAUGCAGUGUACCCGCGGCAAGACGGAAAGACCCCGUGAACCUUUACUAUAGCUUGACACUGAACAUUGAGCCUUGAUGUGUAGGAUAGGUGGGAGGCUUUGAAGUGUGGACGCCAGUCUGCAUGGAGCCGACCUUGAAAUACCACCCUUUAAUGUUUGAUGUUCUAACGUUGACCCGUAAUCCGGGUUGCGGACAGUGUCUGGUGGGUAGUUUGACUGGGGCGGUCUCCUCCUAAAGAGUAACGGAGGAGCACGAAGGUUGGCUAAUCCUGGUCGGACAUCAGGAGGUUAGUGCAAUGGCAUAAGCCAGCUUGACUGCGAGCGUGACGGCGCGAGCAGGUGCGAAAGCAGGUCAUAGUGAUCCGGUGGUUCUGAAUGGAAGGGCCAUCGCUCAACGGAUAAAAGGUACUCCGGGGAUAACAGGCUGAUACCGCCCAAGAGUUCAUAUCGACGGCGGUGUUUGGCACCUCGAUGUCGGCUCAUCACAUCCUGGGGCUGAAGUAGGUCCCAAGGGUAUGGCUGUUCGCCAUUUAAAGUGGUACGCGAGCUGGGUUUAGAACGUCGUGAGACAGUUCGGUCCCUA
rnacentral:rRNA from 1 species